AAGCGAUGAUAUCAAGGGGCGUGCCAAGAGCGUUGCUUGGUUGAGCUGGCGGGAGGGGUUGCACAGUGAAACCUCAACUUGGCGUAGGCAUUUGCCGAAAGAAAAUGUGAAUG
rnacentral:sRNA from 12 species